rnacentral:tRNA from 2 species
GGAAGGAUGGGAGAGCGGUUGAAUCCAGACGCCUCGAAAGCGUCCAGGCCGUAAGGUCUCGCAGGUUCGAAUCCUGCUCCUUCCGCCA